rnacentral:lncRNA from 12 species
GGGGGGGGGGGGGGGGGGGGGGGGGGGGGGGGGGGGGGGGGGGGGGGGGGGGGGGGGGGGGGGGGGGGGGGGGGGGGGGGGGGGGGGGGGGCCUGGGGUCUCCCCCGGCUGGCAGCUCGCAUCCAUCAGGUACCGAAAAGCGCGAGUCAGAGUUCAUUCUGGCGAGUUUUUUUCAUAUCCGUGAAAAGGCGACUCGAGGAGCUCUGUCCCGAUUCAAAAAUGCAGAGUCUGGCUGGGGAACGUUUAGUGGUGUAGUGGAGGAUCACGCAGGCUUCGCACAAGGGAGCACAGGUGAGUACAGCAACGUCUACAAAAUACUUGAGAAGAGAAGCCUGUGUAGAAGAGAGGCACCAGAAGCAACAUUUUCUUUCUGGAGAUUCUUGUUUAUGUCCCCUUUAUUUUAUAUCCCUCACACAGUAACUGUUACUGAGGGGAAAUGGCAAGCCUUAUUCUCUAUAACAGCAUUAUCCUUACAUGUUACAAAUCAUGGCAAUUACCACGACUUCUUGUCCUAGAACUGGGAAGAAUAUCUUAAAGCAUUUCUUCGAAAAGUUUUUUCAGUGAACGGCAUAAGUAUGUAGAUCUAAGAACAUGGACAGACUGAAAAAAAAGCUAUCAUUGCUCGCAGGAUGCUUCAGUUACCAACGCUCUGAAUUUUUUACUCAGAGAAUUGUUAAAAAAGACAGUUAUUACUCCUCUGUGCUGAUGCCCGAGGCAUACAUGAAAUGUCAGCUACCUUUCUCAGGACAGAGACUUGGAGAUAAAAAGACGGCCAAAUAAAAAGUCACAAUAAGGAAUCUUAGAAGGGCAAAACUAGAGAAGGCGGUUUACCCAGGGCUCAAACACACUGACGGGUCCUGUACUAUGAUAAAACACUGAACGCUCCCGGCGUGGGAUGGUCAGGAGAGAGAAAUGAUAAAACACUCUUGAGAGCAACUCCUAUGAAAAAUGCUUGAUCCACCUCGGUGCCUGUUUGUACUGACCCCACCUCUCUGCAACAACCAAAGGAAAUCACGAAAUAAAGACUCUCCACAAACCAACAGCUCUUGUUUCAUGACCUUGUGGAGAGCAGGACACGUUAUGAUCAGCUGAACCCUUCCAAGCGCUGCACAAACCAGGCUUUGGGAAACUACGGCUACAGCAGGUUUUUCCAACACUCCUAUUGCUCAAGAAAUAACUCCAUCAAUAAUUACUGUGCUCAUUCACAGGGUCCUGGUGAUAACUCGGUUCCCAGUUAUGCCACUCUUGCCACUGUUUCGAUAGAAACAAAGACGGAAACUACAAGAUUUAGAUUUUAUGCCACUCUUGCCACUGUCUCGAUAGAAACAAAGACGGAAACUACAAGAUUUAGAUUUUAUCUCAAGCCUCUUAUACUGUAGCUAUUAUUAGGAAACGAUCAUUCAGCCUCAACAUUGCUGUGAGAACAGGCUCUGAAGCAGCCACACUCCGGCUUCAGAGUGAGAAUACUGACGAGGUAUUUAAGUAGAAUCUCGCCCUUUCUCACCCUUUGUGAAUUACAUAAAUGAGAAACUGCUUGGGUUUUGUAUUUUUUUUUUUCAAAUCAUUAACGUUAAUUGAAAACUGUGUUGUAACUGUGAUAAGUACAAAAAUGGAUUAAUAACUUUUGGGAAAAACCUUCAAGCAAUAAACAGUUCACGAGAAAAUAUCUGUGAAUGUCUAAGAGUCCAAACCUGUGAGCAACGCUGUGAUCGAGAAAUGAACCUUGGCAAACGAACUUCAGGCACGUUAGGACCUAUUGUCACUACACCCUUGGCUACAACACCAUUUCUAUUCACAUCUCUCUGAAAACGGCGCAGUGGCCAAGAAAAAAAUAGACAAAAAUUGCCCGUGGAACAGAAACAAUCCUUCAGAAAUCAACUUUUGUUUGGCAGAAGAGGCUUCUCAUGGACAAUCGGGUUAUUCUGACAAAAUCACUCACGUCGAUUUUGAACACUUGGCAUGGAAAGAUCAAGCGCUGCUACACGAGAGAACGAUACAAAAUAAGAUUUAAGGCGACGCAAAAACCACAAACGAACAACCCUUCACACAAGCGUGUCUCGACUUUCCACGCGGUGCCGGAUCGCCUGUAACGCAUCUGAGAAGAAAUCUCGACAAUGCGCUCUAAUUCCUUGAUAUUAACCCAUAGUUUGAAGGAAUAAAAAGACGCAUAUGGUCUUUAAUCUGAAUCUCCUGUCUGGGAACAUGCAGUUCUUUGACUCCGUCUUUGCAGGAGCACAGCAAUAACGCACCACCGCGGUGAGAAUCCUGUGCUAACACAUUUAUUUCAGAUUUAAAAUUAUUAACAGCAAGCAAAUGCGCUACUCUUCCACCAUCUCUACUCACUUCCGAGUGUGAAGCUCACUUUUUACUCAACCAAAAAAGUUCCCGCAAGCAAACUCGAAGAAUAGUUGAGAAUGCACUCCCGGAAAACAGAAUGCUACACAAAGUUGGCAUUGCUGCAACUACUGGAUAAGGAACACGCUGUAUGAGGCACUUUCAGAAGUUAAAAAUGUAAUAAACCCAAAACGAAGCAGGCAAACACGGGUCCGCAUUCAAUUUCAAACAAUGGCUUACAAUUCUCCUAAAUAUAUUUUUAAAAAAAGGAAUAUGCAGAGAGUGAUAAUUAAGUACACCAAAGACAGAAUUGAGAAAAGUGCCACUGUGGAAAAUCCAUCCUAAAGUGUAGUUAAUACUCUGUUUUCAACAAAUAAUAACAGUA